GCCACCCGCAUCUGCCGCAUAAUCCCAUCCCGCUAAUCACUCACCCGUUCAUCCAUCCUAAGACCCCCUCGCAUGAACCUCCCUAGCUCGCCAUGGCACUACUCGCCUUCUCUACGAUUGCGCUGCCCAUCACCUGGUUAGAUCCGUACCUCCGCUUCUCUCCACCUCACUGCCCAGAUCCGUUCCACUGCUCCUCCCUUCUUCCUCUCCGUCGAUGCGCCCCCGGGCAACAUUGCAGGUGUGCAGGUGCGCCUUCCUGGAAUUAGAUGGCCGAGCCCAACUUCCCCUUCGUGAUUGCUGCUUCGACGGUUUACCUCCCAGGUUGAAGUAGCACCAGAAGGCCGAACGACAAGAAGUGGACUCCGGUGUUCCCCUCUUUGAAGAGCCCCUGAUCGGAGUUGAAGGAAGCACAUACGAAGUUAGGAAGAAGCAUCACAUAUGUCCGCAUGGCAACAGUGCAAGGGACAAGGUCCUCGCACUUUUGAUUGCCGUGCGUGUCACCGCGGUAGAUGGUGUGGAGCUUACUGACCAUCAUUGGCGUCAUAGAAGCAAAUUCUAUAUUUAAUUGAGACACAUGAUCAUCACCAUGGGAGCACUCCCCAUGUUAUUUGAUAUGAUAUAGUUUUUCUUUUUCUUUUUUAAUGGAGACAAAUCUAUAUUUGUAUGGAAGCAAUUCUUCUAGUCUAUGAAAAUAGUACAUGUUGAUUCGGAAGCAAA